AACGAACGCUGGCGGCAUGCCUAACACAUGCAAGUCGAACGAGACCUUCGGGUCUAGUGGCGCACGGGUGCGUAACGCGUGGGAACCUGCCCUUAGGUUCGGAAUAACUCCCCGAAAGGGGUGCUAAUACCGGAUAAUGUCUUCGGACCAAAGAUUUAUCGCCUUUGGAUGGGCCCGCGUGGGAUUAGCUAGUUGGUAGGGUAAAAGCCUACCAAGGCGACGAUCCAUAGCUGGUCUGAGAGGAUGAUCAGCCACACUGGGACUGAGACACGGCCCAGACUCCUACGGGAGGCAGCAGUGGGGAAUAUUGGACAAGGGGCGAAAGCCUGAUCCAGCAAUGCCGCGUGAGUGAUGAAGGCCUUAGGGUUGUAAAGCUCUUUUACCCGGGAUGAUAAUGACAGUACCGGGAGAAUAAGCUCCGGCUAACUCCGUG
rnacentral:rRNA from 1 species